AAUCAACGCUGGCGGCGUGCCUAACACAUGCAAGUCGAACGAGAAAGUGGAGCAAUCCAUGAGUAAAGUGGCGACCGGGUGAGUAACACGUGACUAACCUACCCUGAAGUGGGGAAUAACCUCGGGAAACCGGGGCUAAUACCGCAUAACAUCGCGAGCUGUAAACGCUUGUGAUCAAAGGAGCAAUUCGCUUUUGGAGGGGGUCGCGGCUGAUUAGCUAGUUGGUAAGGUAACGGCUUACCAAGGCUUAGAUCAGUAUCCGGCCUGAGAGGGCGCACGGACACACUGGAACUGAAACACGGUCCAGACUCCUACGGGAGGCAGCAGUGGGGAAUUUUGCGCAAUGGGGGAAACCCUGACGCAGCAACGCCGCGUGGAGGAUGAAGUCCCUUGGGAUGUAAACUCC
rnacentral:rRNA from 1 species